rnacentral:rRNA from 1 species
AUGAACGCUGGCGGCAGGCCUAACACAUGCAAGUCGAGCGGAAACGACUUAACUGAACCUUCGGGGGACNUUNAGGGCGUCGAGCGGCGGACGGGUGAGUAAUGCUUAGGAAUUUGCCCAGUCGAGGGGGAUAACCAUUGGAAACGAUGGCUAAUACCGCAUACGCCCUACGGGGGAAAGAGGGGGAUGCUUUUGCACCUUUCNCGAUUGGAUAAGCCUAAGUGAGAUUAGCUAGUUGGUGAGGUAAAGGCUCACCAAGGCGACGAUCUCUAGCUGGUUUGAGAGGAUGAUCAGCCACACUGGAACUGAGACACGGUCCAGACUCCUACGGGAGGCAGCAGUGGGGAAUAUUGCACAAUGGGCGCAAGCCUGAUGCAGCCAUGCCGCGUGUAUGAAGAAGGCCUUCGGGUUGUAAAGUACUUUCAGCGAGGAGGAAAGGGUGUGAGUUAAUACCUUACAUCUGUGACGUUACUCG